AUUUUUCAAAGCACGCCUAGCCAUGUUAGAAUGGUUGAACACAUACUCUUCUGGGCUCCUAUUAUUUUCAACCGUAGUGAGUAGCUCUGAUUUCAGUUCAGAGGCAAGCUGCUUCCUGAUGAAAGUUCGAACAGCAUGAACACCGUCAGGGUCUGCAACUUCCAUCAUGUCCAUUAUUUCUCCUUCACCGGGGAGAGUUAUUGCCUUCGCAAUAAAUACUUUAUCCAAGCUGGAGUCACAAAGUAUGCUUUUGAGCCCAUGCACAAACUUAGGAUUCAAAACCAAUGGUUUCUUCUGUUGGAAAUCAGCCACUAAGUUCAGCAUCAGCUUCCUUGCCAAGAUCUGUCCAGCUUCCCAA
rnacentral:misc_RNA from 1 species